UUCGGUGUGCAUGGUCCCCAUCCAUCAAAUCAUGUUUUUAUAUUGUUUGAGAAACAAAUAAUGAACUGCAAUUAAGCCAUUUCAGUUGCCAGUUAUUACGGCAGUUGUCAGUCAUAUGCGGUGUGGAAAUAGAUAAGGCUUAUCUCUGUCGCUGUGGCUGAUGGAGAUAUUCGGUUUGACCGAUGCCAUUAGAUGCUGAGUUUUCUAUGGUGUAUCAGCUGUGUCCUAUAUUGUACGGACUGAGAUGACCCAGAUCCGUGUGCACGGCGACUGCCCAUAAACGAAUUAACUGUCUCUCUUCUGUUUCUUAUCUUCUCUCCCAUGUCCCUUUUCUUCCUCUCGCUCUGUUGCUCCUUACGGGAAAAUCCACUCAGAAAUGGUCGUUAAGCAUCAUACGAUGCAUUUUGCAUCAUCAAGAGGAUGUGGCAAGUGACAAUUAGAUUUUUGAAAGUCCUAUAUCUUGAAAAUGUGAUUUCUGACAUGCAAAACACUUUAGGAAUGUAUCAACAGUGGACUAAUGAAAAACAAUAUAUAUAUUUUGGGUUGGAUUUGUCCUUCAACGCACCUCUCUCUCUCGUUCUCUUUAUUUCCCUCCCUCGCGCAAUUCCCCGGUUGUAUUGGGGUGGAUGACGCGGCACCCAUACCUGUGUUGUGUGCYUCUUGCGCCGGCUGGGCGUGCAGCCUGGUGAAGUAAGGGUGAUGGGGAUGCGGCUGCCAUGGUAACACGCCGAUUAGAUUCAGACCUUUGUGUGUAUUUAUUUAUUUAAUAUUUCAGUUGCGUGCGUGCGUGCGUGCCUGAGAGGUGACGGGCGUUUUGGAAGUCAGCCUGCAAUCGGAAUCAGACUAUUAAGACUGGUGUCGCGUUCCUUUUGAGUUAUGAUUGACCAUAGAAUUGCCUAUUUAAAUAUUUGGCUAUACCUUCUCAAGCUCAACAAGUUAUUCCGGUUGGAACAGGACUUCAUGGAUAUAAUUCWUUCAAGUGCACUUAAUUUCCUUGCAUGGUUUUAUUCAUCAAGAUUCGUUAAAAACAUGUAAAUGAAACGAAGGUUUUGUUAAUCGUAAACGAAUAGGAUGGGCUCCAAAGAUGUCGCUGUAACGGUCCAAGGAUGUCAUUGGGAGUGACUGGAGAAGUGGAAGAGGAGGGGAAACGCGUCUGAAAUAGCAGAACAUUUAUCCKSGCGGGUUUGGAGACGUCACAUAUUCUGCAMUUGCCCAGGUUGUCUGUUCUGUUUGUGUGUUUCCGAACUGAAUUCCGAAAAUAACCCUACUGCUGACGCUAACAGCUUGUCUUGUUUUACGUGCCCGGACAAAGGGAAUAUUAUCGGGUGUUAGGCGAGUGUGGACUACAUUGGGGGUAGCCAACCGCCCAAAACUACCACCUCUCAUCCACUGUCAAGAUGAACUCUUACAGAAUACUACCAUGUCUCGAUGAGAGCAAGAGGGAGACAUAUCCUUGACAACCAGAGAGGGAGGGUCAAAGAGCGACCUGCGUCAUUAUCCCUGAGAGAGAGACCAGGAAUUACGUGCCAAUAUGCCUGUUGUCGAAAUGCUGAGGGCGGCAAUAGAAAGGAGAAGGUGGGCCUCAGGCCAGGAGAAGAAGGGAGGAUGGAGAGAUCUCGAUGAAGAAAAGCGAGCUGGGGAAAGGAGGAGAUAAGAGAAAGCACUGCCAUCAUAUUUUUGGAGUGACAAAUCUAUUUGUGGCAAACUCCCAGAGGUGGGGCAAACUCAUAGAGGUGGGGCAAACUCCCAGAGGUGGGGCAAACUCCCAGAGGUGGGGCAAACUCCCAGAGGUGGGGUUAGGAUGCACAGAUCAGUGGAGAGGAGACAGAUCACUACAAGCCAUUGGAGAUUAUAAAAAGUUGAGGUCAACUAUUUAAUCACCACCUUUCUCUUUCCCYAGACAGUCUUAGGUAGUAGCCUUUUAUUAGGCUCCUAGUUGAACAUUGACAGGACAUAUUGUCCCGUUUUGACAAUCUGUUUCCAGAGUGAGAGUGACAGGUUAUAUUGAUCUCCCUUUGCCCCCCUUCUCCCUGGUUAGGGGAUGGAUGGGGUGGCGGGAGGUGUUGGGCCCCCUGGCGGGAGUGAGGGUCGGCCGGGUCGUAGUGGAGGAGACUCUAAGAGGCGCAGUAAGGGCAGCCUGCCCUCCCCAGKGUAUCGCCUCUCCCAGGCAUCUCUGGAGGGUGACAGGUCAGGGGUCGAGGGGUCCGGUUCCGGAGGGGGGCGACGGCGCCUCUCCAUCUUGAGU